GACGAACGCUGGCGGCGUGCUUAACGCAUGCAAGUCGAGCGGUAAGGCCCUUUCGGGGGUACACGAGCGGCGAACGGGUGAGUAACACGUGGGUGACCUGCCCUCAGCUCUGGGAUAAGCCUGGGAAACCGGGUCUAAUACUGGAUAUGACUCCAUGACGCAUGUUGUGGGGUGGAAAGCCUUGUGCGGCUGAGGAUGGGCCCGCGGCCUAUCAGCUUGUUGGUGGGGUGANGGCCUACCAAGGCGACGACGGGUAGCCGGCCUGAGAGGGCGACCGGCCACACUGGGACUGAGACACGGCCCCAGACUCCUACGGGAGGCAGCAGUGGGGAAUCUUGCGCAAUGGGCGAAAGCCUGACGCAGCGACG
rnacentral:rRNA from 1 species